rnacentral:rRNA from 1 species
UUCGUAGGGGGCAAGCGUUGUCCGGAUUUAUUGGGCGUAAAGAGCGUGUAGGCGGCCAUGUAGGUCCGUUGUGAAAACUCGAGGCUCAACCUCGAGACGCCGAUGGAAACCAUGUGGCUAGAGUCCGGAAGAGGAGAGUGGAAUUCCUGGUGUAGCGGUGAAAUGCGCAGAUAUCAGGAAGAACACCCGUGGCUAAGGCGGCUCUCUAGUACGGUACUGACGCUGAGACGCGAAAGCGUGGGGAGCGAACAGG